GAUGAACGCUGGCGGCGUGCCUAAUACAUGCAAGUCGAGCGAACGGACGAGAAGCUUGCUUCUCUGAUGUUAGCGGCGGACGGGUGAGUAACACGUGGAUAACCUACCUAUAAGACUGGGAUAACUUCGGGAAACCGGAGCUAAUACCGGAUAAUAUUUUGAACCGCAUGGUUCAAAAGUAAAAGACGGUCUUGCUGUCACUUAUAGAUGGAUCCGCGCUGCAUUAGCUAGUUGGUAAGGUAACGGCUUACCAAGGCAACGAUGCAUAGCCGACCUGAGAGGGUGAUCGGCCACACUGGAACUGAGACACGGUCCAGACUCCUACGGGAGGCAGCAGUAGGGAAUCUUCCGCAAUGGGCGAAAGCCUGACGGAGCAACGCCGCGUGAGUGAUGAAGGUCUUCGGAUCGUAAAACUCUGUUAUUAGGGAAGAAUAUAUGUGUAAGUAACUGUGCACAUCUUGACGGUACCUAAUCAGAAAGCCACGGCUAACUACGUGCCAGCAGCCGCGGUAAUAUGUAGGUGGCAAGCGUUAUCCGGAAUUAUUGGGCGUAAAGCGCGCGUAGGCGGUUUUUUAAGUCUGAUGUGAAAGCCCACGGCUCAACCGUGGAGGGUCAUUGGAAACUGGAAAACUUGAGUGCAGAAGAGGAAAGUGGAAUUCCAUGUGUAGCGGUGAAAUGCGCAGAGAUAUGGAGGAACACCAGUGGCGAAGGCGACUUUCUGGUCUGUAACUGACGCUGAUGUGCGAAAGCGUGGGGAUCAAACAGGAUUAGAUACCCUGGUAGUCCACGCCGUAAACGAUGAGUGCUAAGUGUUAGGGGGUUUCCGCCCCUUAGUGCUGCAGCUAACGCAUUAAGCACUCCGCCUGGGGAGUACGACCGCAAGGUUGAAACUCAAAGGAAUUGACGGGGACCCGCACAAGCGGUGGAGCAUGUGGUUUAAUUCGAAGCAACGCGAAGAACCUUACCAAAUCUUGACAUCCUUUGACAACUCUAGAGAUAGAGCCUUCCCCCUCGGGGGACAAAGUGACAGGUGGUGCAUGGUUGUCGUCAGCUCGUGUCGUGAGAUGUUGGGUUAAGUCCCGCAACGAGCGCAACCCUUAAGCUUAGUUGCCAUCAUUAAGUUGGGCACUCUAAGUUGACUGCCGGUGACAAACCGGAGGAAGGUGGGGAUGACGUCAAAUCAUCAUGCCCCUUAUGAUUUGGGCUACACACGUGCUACAAUGGACAAUACAAAGGGCAGCGAAACCGCGAGGUCAAGCAAAUCCCAUAAAGUUGUUCUCAGUUCGGAUUGUAGUCUGCAACUCGACUACAUGAAGCUGGAAUCGCUAGUAAUCGUAGAUCAGCAUGCUACGGUGAAUACGUUCCCGGGUCU
rnacentral:rRNA from 1 species